UAACACAUGCAAGUCGAACGGUAACAGGAAGAAGCUUGCUUCUUUGCUGACGAGUGGCGGACGGGUGAGUAAUGUCUGGGAAACUGCCUGAUGGAGGGGGAUAACUACUGGAAACGGUAGCUAAUACCGCAUAACGUCGCAAGACCAAAGAGGGGGACCUUCGGGCCUCUUGCCAUCGGAUGUGCCCAGAUGGGAUUAGCUAGUAGGUGGGGUAACGGCUCACCUAGGCGACGAUCCCUAGCUGGUCUGAGAGGAUGACCAGCCACACUGGAACUGAGACACGGUCCAGACUCCUACGGGAGGCAGCAGUGGGGAAUAUUGCACAAUGGGCGCAAGCCUGAUGCAGCCAUGCCGCGUGUAUGAAGAAGGCCUUCGGGUUGUAAAGUACUUUCAGCGGGGAGGAAGGGAGUAAAGUUAAUACCUUUGCUCAUUGACGUUACCCGCAGAAGAAGCACCGGCUAACUCCGUGCCAGCAGCCGCGGUAAUACGGAGGGUGCAAGCGUUAAUCAGAAUUACUGGGCGUAAAGCGCACGCAGGCGGUUUGUUAAGUCAGAUGUGAAAUCCCCGGGCUCAACCUGGGAACUGCAUCUGAUACUGGCAAGCUUGAGUCUCGUAGAGGGGGGUAGAAUUCCAGGUGUAGCGGUGAAAUGCGUAGAGAUCUGGAGGAAUACCGGUGGCGAAGGCGGCCCCCUGGACGAAGACUGA
rnacentral:rRNA from 1 species